rnacentral:rRNA from 1 species
UACCAGCACCCCGAGUGGUCGGGACGUUAUUGGGCCUAAAGCAUCCGUAGCCGGUUCUACAAGUCUUCCGUUAAAUCCACCUGCUUAACAGAUGGGCUGCGGAAGAUACUAUAGAGCUAGGAGGCGGGAGAGGCAAGCGGUACUCGAUGGGUAGGGGUAAAAUCCGUUGAUCCAUUGAAGACCACCAGUGGCGAAGGCGGCUUGCCAGAACGCGCUCGGACGGUGAGGGAUGAAAGCUGGGGGAGCAAACCGGG